rnacentral:rRNA from 1 species
UACGAAGGGUGCGAGCGUUUGUUCGGAAUUACUGGGCGUAAAGGGCUCGUAGGCGGCCAACUAAGUCGGAUGUGAAAUCCCCAGGCUCAACCUGGGAACUGCAUCCGAUACUGGAUGGCUUGAAUCCGGGAGAGGGAUGCAGAAUUCCAGGUGUAGCGGUGAAAUGCGUAGAUAUAGGAAGGAACACCAGUGGCGAAGGCGACCACCUGGACUGAUACUGACACUGAGGUGCGAAAGCGUGGGGAGCAAACAGG